UGGGACUGAGACACGGCCCAAACUCCUACGGGAGGCAGCAGUGGGGAAUCUUCCGCAAUGGACGAAAGUCUGACGGAGCAACGCCGCGUGUAUGAUGAAGGUCUUCGGAUUGUAAAGUACUGUCUUUGGGGAAGAAUGAUUGGUUUGAAAAUAUUGAGCCAAUAUGACGGUACCCAAGGAGGAAGCCCCGGCUAACUACGUGCCAGCAGCCGCGGUAAUACGUAGGGGGCAAGCGUUGUCCGGAAUUAUUGGGCGUAAGGGCGCGUAGGCGGAUGUUUAAGUCCGGUGUGAAAGAUCAGGGCUCAACCCUGAGAGUGCAUCGGAAACUGGGCGUCUUGAGGACAGGAGAGGAAAGUGGAAUUCCACGUGUAGCGGUGAAAUGCGUAGAUAUGUGGAGGAACACCAGUGGCGAAGGCGACUUUCUGGACUGUAACUGACGCUGAUGCACGAAAGCUAGGGGAGCAAACAGGAUUAGAUACCCUGGUAGUCC
rnacentral:rRNA from 1 species